AUAACGACUCUCGGCAACGGAUAUCUCGGCUCUCGCAUCGAUGAAGAACGCAGCGAAAUGCGAUACCUGGUGUGAAUUGCAGAAUCCCGUGAAUCAUCGAGUCUUUGAACGCAAGUUGCGCCCGAGGCCUUUCGGCCGAGGGCACGCCUGCCUGGGCGUCACG
rnacentral:rRNA from 1 species